rnacentral:rRNA from 1 species
CGUUGCACUAUCGUUAACUGAAUACAUAGGUUAACGAGGCGAACCGGGGGAACUGAAACAUCUAAGUACCCCGAGGAAAAGAAAUCAACCGAGAUUCCCCCAGUAGCGGCGAGCGAACGGGGAGCAGCCCGGAGUCUGAAUCAGCUUGUGUGUUAGUGGAACGGUCUGGAAAGUCCGACGGUACAGGGUGAUAGUCCCGUACACGAAAGCACACAUGCUGUGAACUCGAAGAGUAGGGCGGGACACGUGGUAUCCUGUCUGAAUAUGGGGGGACCAUCCUCCAAGGCUAAAUACUCCUGACUGACCGAUAGUGAACCAGUACCGUGAGGGAAAGGCGAAAAGAACCCCGGCGAGGGGAGUGAAAAAGAACCUGAAACCGUGUACGUACAAGCAGUGGGAGCCUCUUUAUGGGGUGACUGCGUACCUUUUGUAUAAUGGGUCAGCGACUUAUAUUCUGUAGCAAGGUUAACCGUAUAGGGGAGCCGAAGGGAAACCGAGUCUUAACUGGGCGUUAAGUUGCAGGGUAUAGACCCGAAACCCGGUGAUCUAGCCAUGGGCAGGUUGAAGGUUGGGUAACACUAACUGGAGGACCGAACCGACUAAUGUUGAAAAAUUAGCGGAUGACCUGUGGCUGGGGGUGAAAGGCCAAUCAAACCGGGAGAUAGCUGGUUCUCCCCGAAAGCUAUUUAGGUAGCGCCUCGUGAAUUCAUCUUCGGGGGUAGAGCACUGUUUCGGCUAGGGGGCCAUCCCGGCUUACCAACCCGAUGCAAACUACGAAUACCGAAGAAUGUUAUCACGGGAGACACACGGCGGGUGCUAACGUCCGUCGUGAAGAGGGAAACAACCCAGACCGCCAGCUAAGGUCCCAAAGUCAUGGUUAAGUGGGAAACGAUGUGGGAAGGCACAGACAGCCAGGAUGUUGGCUUAGAAGCAGCCAUCAUUUAAAGAAAGCGUAAUAGCUCACUGGUCGAGUCGGCCUGCGCGGAAGAUGUAACGGGGCUAAACCAUGCACCGAAGCUGCGGCAGCGACACUAUGUGUUGUUGGGUAGGGGAGCGUUCUGUAAGCCGUUGAAGGUGUGCUGUGAGGCAUGCUGGAGGUAUCAGAAGUGCGAAUGCUGACAUAAGUAACGAUAAAGCGGGUGAAAAGCCCGCUCGCCGGAAGACCAAGGGUUCCUGUCCAACGUUAAUCGGGGCAGGGUGAGUCGACCCCUAAGGCGAGGCCGAAAGGCGUAGUCGAUGGGAAACAGGUUAAUAUUCCUGUACUUGGUGUUACUGCGAAGGGGGGACGGAGAAGGCUAUGUCAGCCGGGCGACGGUUGUCCCGGUUUAAGCAUGUAGGCGGAGGUUCCAGGUAAAUCCGGUACCUUAUUAACGCUGAGGUGUGAUGACGAGGCACUACGGUGCUGAAGUGAUAAAUGCCCUGCUUCCAGGAAAAGCCUCUAAGCAUCAGGUAACACGAAAUCGUACCCCAAACCGACACAGGUGGUCAGGUAGAGAAUACCAAGGCGCUUGAGAGAACUCGGGUGAAGGAACUAGGCAAAAUGGUGCCGUAACUUCGGGAGAAGGCACGCUGAUGUGUAGGUGAAGCCCCUGCGGGCGGAGCUGAAAUCAGUCGAAGAUACCAGCUGGCUGCAACUGUUUAUUAAAAACACAGCACUGUGCAAACACGAAAGUGGACGUAUACGGUGUGACGCCUGCCCGGUGCCGGAAGGUUAAUUGAUGGGGUUAGCGGCAACGCGAAGCUCUUGAUCGAAGCCCCGGUAAACGGCGGCCGUAACUAUAACGGUCCUAAGGUAGCGAAAUUCCUUGUCGGGUAAGUUCCGACCUGCACGAAUGGCGUAAUGAUGGCCAGGCUGUCUCCACCCGAGACUCAGUGAAAUUGAACUCGCUGUGAAGAUGCAGUGUACCCGCGGCAAGACGGAAAGACCCCGUGAACCUUUACUAUAGCUUGACACUGAACACUGGUCCUUGAUGUGUAGGAUAGGUGGGAGGCUUUGAAGCGUGGACGCCAGUCUGCGUGGAGCCGACCUUGAAAUACCACCCUUUAAUGGCUGGUGUUCUAACGUAGACCCGUAAUCCGGGUUGCGGACAGUGUCUGGUGGGUAGUUUGACUGGGGCGGUCUCCUCCCAAA